AGUGAACGCUGGCGGUAGGCCUAACACAUGCAAGUCGAACGGCAGCACAGGAGAGCUUGCUCUCUGGGUGGCGAGUGGCGGACGGGUGAGGAAUACAUCGGAAUCUACUCUGUCGUGGGGGAUAACGUAGGGAACCUUACGCUAAUACCGCAUACGACCUACGGGUGAAAGCAGGGGACCUUCGGGCCUUGCGCGAUUGAAUUAGCCGAUGUCGGAUUAGCUAGUUGGCGGGGUAAAGGCCCACCAAGGCGACGAUCCGUAGCUGGUCUGAGAGGAUGAUCAGCCACACUGGAACUGAGACACGGUCUAGACUCCUACGGGAGGCAGCAGUGGGGAAUAUUGGACAAUGGGCGCAAGCCUGAUCCAGCCAUACCGCGUGGGUGAAGAAGGCCUUCGGGUUGUAAAGCCCUUCUGUUGGGAAAGAAAUCCAGCUGGCUAAUACCCGGUUGGGAUGACGGUACCCAAAGAAUAAGCACCGGCUAACUUCGUGCCAGCCGCCGCCGUAA
rnacentral:rRNA from 1 species